UACGAAGGGGGCUAGCGUUGCUCGGAUUUACUGGGCGUAAAGGGCGCGUAGGCGGACAGUUAAGUUGGGGGUGAAAGCCCGGGGCUCAACCUCGGAAUUGCCUUCAAUACUGGCUGUCUUGAGUGUGAGAGAGGUGUGUGGAACUCCGAGUGUAGAGGUGAAAUUCGUAGAUAUUCGGAAGAACACCAGUGGCGAAGGCGACACGCUGGCUCACUACUGACGCUGAGGCGCGAAAGCGUGGGGAGCAAACAGG
rnacentral:rRNA from 1 species